UUCUGGACAAGGAAAACUCUCUUUUAAGGAGUGAAUGGGAGACAAUUGAGUGCGAGCUCAAAAACCGAAAUUAGCAUGAUUUCGUGAACAAGAAUAUCUUCAGAUAUGUGAGAUAAUUAACUUGUUCACUGUAAUAUCGUAUAGCUUAGAAAUAGACACAUUGCGUACUUUCGAGGAAAAUAGGCAGGUUUCUCGACCCAUACCCUGACUUUGAGAAGGGAUUGCGUGAUGGCUGAUGAAGAGCGAGGCCCAACUCUGCGGGAAAUCUGUCUCCCUCCAGCAGGAGCUACAGCAUGCAGGGAUUGUUUGUACAGGCACUUGCCCUGAGACAGUUGCUAAGGUGGAGUACCCACAAGCUGCUGAACCCUGGACACAGACUUUUACUGGACACUACACACUCGCCAGCUGUGUUCCUCCAUGACCAUUGGGACACAAAAGCUCCCUACACGCUGGAGUUCAGCUAAGACCUGGUCAGGUCUUCAUCAAGUGAGGUUCAAACGCGGCAAAAAAGGAGGCGCCAAGGCUGUACAGGAUGAGGAGGAAGAUGAUGGAAAGGAUCCUGAGCACAGUGACUAUGAGGAUGAACCUGAGGAUGACUCCCCAGUGUACCCAAAGACUACAAAGACAUGGAGAAAUAUGUGCAGUCCUUUCAUUAUGUUAUCAUGAAAGUUGGCCUUGAUAUAGCACGCAAGUGGGUGGUUACAGAGUUAUGUCUUUAGAUUUUCAAUGGGAUGCACUCAAGGAGAAAAACAAUGGGUAAUGGUAUCAGUAUUUGGCAUCAAUAUCUGCAACAAUUUGAGGGGAUCCAUAUGGGUCGAAUUUGAGCACCUCUCCUUAAAGCUUGGUCAUUCAGGUCUUGAAAUCACAUUUACAAUUUUGCUCACGGGUGAAUGAAGAGAUGAGGUCAAAUGAAUUGAUUGAUAUGGAAUAGAAUUGCCCUACUAUUUAAAAGGCUCUAGGACUA